CAUCUCCAAAGAGGAAGUAUGCCCUCCAGGGGCCAGCUUAAAGUGGAGUUCCACCCAUUUUUUCAUGUUUGGCUGUGCUGCAUGUCCUUAGUGCCUAGAUUUCAUAAUGGACAAUCUCUUUUCUUUUUUUGUAUAGUAAAUACCUUUUCUGCCGUUUUAAAAGUCAGCUUCCUGGCUUAAUCACCUAGGCGAUUAAGGAAUAAGGUGAUUUGCAAGGGUUCUACAGCAGCCGUGAGGAAGGGAACUAAGAAUUUGGCUUUUGAGCAGAGGAUCGACAUCCGAUUCGGUUUCCUCCAUACUCUAAAACCAUUAUUUUCAGGUAUAUUUGGACAACUCUAAACCUUAUAAAAUGUCAUUAUAAUAAAAAUGUAUAUUCAUGUG